rnacentral:rRNA from 1 species
GUGCCAGCAGCCGCGGUAAUACGUAGGGUGCAAGCGUUAUCCGGAAUUAUUGGGCGUAAAGAGCUCGUAGGCGGUUUGUCGCGUCUGCUGUGAAAACUGGAGGCUCAACCUCCAGCCUGCAGUGGGUACGGGCAGACUAGAGUGCGGUAGGGGAGAUUGGAAUUCCUGGUGUAGCGGUGGAAUGCGCAGAUAUCAGGAGGAACACCGAUGGCGAAGGCAGAUCUCUGGGCCGUAACUGACGCUGAGGAGCGAAAGCAUGGGGGAGCGAACAGGAUUAGAUACCCUGGUAGUCC